GAUAAUGGAGCCUAAAACCAUCCAUGCCAUCCUCUUUCUCCUCUGCUAUUUUUAUCUUAAAGCCAUUAAUUUUUGACUCUUAUUUGAUAGCAUAUGGGGCGGCAACUUUUUAUAUGGCAGAUUAGGUCAAAAGACCUAAUCAAUAUGGAGUCCAUGGGGCGUCCAACUCUUGGAUGCCCCCUCCCUUAUAAAUUUCAUUGAGAUCAGGAUAAGAUGCUUAAAAAGGGAAACAAAAUGAUAGGAUAGGCUUGGAGAUAGUUGGCGCA
rnacentral:lncRNA from 1 species